CUUGCGUGCCCCAGCGACACAGGCCUCGAGGCUGUCUCUGACAAGUGUUCACAGGAGGUGGGGACGCCUCUGCGCGAGGAACGAGGAGCUACGGGCCUGGGCCCGGUUAUUGCCAUGGGCAGCGGCUGCCGCAUCGAAUGCAUAUUCUUCAGCGAGUUCCACCCCACGCUGGGACCCAAGAUCACCUAUCAGGUGCCACCCGGGCUCGCGGGACUGGGCGGGGAGAGGGACGUUCUCGAGAGCUCAACUGGCUGCCUGAAGGCAGUAGUUUCCCGUGCUGCACGCAGGCAUGCUACUUCAUUCGCAGACAACUGUGAGGCUAGAGGAUAGUCAGACCCAGGCCCCCGGCUCCCAAUGUGGCAGGGAAGACAUACGUCACAUUGGCAGUGUUUGUAGGAUAUCGGGCUGUAGGGAUCCGGUUGGGGGGUUCCAGGUCCCACAGAAGGUGAGUUGGGUGACCCAUGAGUAUCCCUGAACUGAGUGAAGAGUAAAUGAUGCAUAGGAAGUUUAGAUAAGGCAGGAGAAAGUGUUCCAGGUAGAGGGAACAGCAUAUGCAGAAGCCAGGAAGGAGGUGAGAUCAUAGCGUAUGUUUGGAAACAGAAAGAAGUAAUAGGCCUGAGUGGAUGGGAGAGAGGGGAACGCUGGAGAAGAGGACUUGGGCUUGGGGGGCAUGAGGAGGUCACCAUUUGUACUACACACAGUACAGAUGUCCACUGACGGGCCCAUUGCCACUCCCCUCCCCAGGUCCCUGAAGACUUCAUCUCCCGAGAGCUGUUUGACACAGUCCAAGUGUAUAUCAUCACCAAGCCAGAGCUGCAAAACAAGCUUAUCACUCUAUGGAAAAGAAGCUGAUCGGCUGUCCUGUGUGCAUCGAACACAAGAAGUACAGCCGCAAUGCUCUCCUCUUCAACCUGGGCUUCGUGUGUGAUGCCCAGGCCAAGACCUGCGCCCUCGAGCCCAUUGUUAAAAAGCUGGCUGGCUAUCUGACCACACUAGAGAGAGCAGCUUCGUGUCCACGGAGGAGAGCAAGCAGAAGUUGGUGCCCAUCAUGACCAUCUUGCUGGAGGAGCUAAAUGCCUCAGGCCGGUGCACUCUGCCCAUUGAUGAGUCCAACACCAUCCACUUGAAGGUGAUUGAGCAGCGGCCAGACCCUCCGGUGGCCCAGGAGUAUGAUGUACCUGUCUUUACCAAAGACAAGGAGGAUUUCUUCAACUCACAGUGGGACCUCACUACACAACAAAUCCUGCCCUACAUUGAUGGGUUCCGCCACAUCCAGAAGAUUUCAGCAGAGGCAGAUGUGGAGCUCAACCUGGUGCGCAUUGCUAUCCAGAACCUGCUGUACUACGGCGUUGUGACACUGGUGUCCAUCCUCCAGUACUCCAAUGUAUACUGCCCAACGCCCAAGGUCCAGGACCUGGUAGAUGACAAGUCCCUGCAGGAGGCAUGUCUAUCCUACGUGACCAAGCAAGGUAGUGGUGGGUUCUGGGGGAAGCCAUCUUGGGGAGGGCAGGGCCACAUGAUGAGCUGAUCCCUGGCACCCACAGGGCACAAGAGGGCCAGUCUCCGGGAUGUGUUCCAGCUAUACUGCAGCCUGAGCCCUGGCACUACCGUGCGAGACCUCAUUGGCCGCCACCCCCAGCAGCUGCAGCAUGUUGAUGAACGGAAGCUGAUCCAGUUCGGGCUUAUGAAGAACCUCAUCAGGCGACUACAGAAGUAUCCUGUGCGGGUGACUCGGGAAGAGCAGAGCCACCCUGCCCGGCUUUAUACAGGCUGCCACAGCUAUGACGAGAUCUGCUGCAAGACAGGCAUGAGCUACCAUGAGCUGGAUGAGCGGCUUGAAAAUGACCCCAACAUCAUCAUCUGCUGGAAGUGAGGCUGGUAGUGACUGGAUGGACACAUUGCUGUGGGUAGUCCCUCCUACUAGGAGGCUUGUCAUACUGUCUAGAGGUUGACUCUUAGUUCUGUAAAUAAAGACAUCCA
rnacentral:sRNA from 1 species